GGUAUCCCAUACGAAUUCCCUCCUUGGGUAUCCACUGAUUCUUCCUUUUGCUGCUCUUGGUGACAGGCCUCUGGCACUCCACCCCACAGCUGGAUUGCACCUCCUCUGUGUGCCAUAGAUCUGGAUCUGUGAGAUUCCCCUUGGAGGCUCCAGAGAAAGUGCAGUAUGUAAAGCAAACAUCAGUACCUGAGACUAAGCUCCACUGACGACCCUUCAAGGGAGGGCACCCCCACUCCCUUAUACCACCGGGCCAUAAAUGUCCCACCAGAAGCAGAGCAGCUUUCCUGGCCUGCCGUCCCAGUACAGCAGUGAUGGAUGCUUCCAGCACGGCACUGACAUGGGGGCCUCAGGCUGGGCUGGCCAGGAUUCUGAGAGCUAUAGAAGAAGCCCAUGGGCAUCUCGACCCUGUUCCGUGUCGGAGCUGGAGAGGAGCUACGCAAACACCUACCCCUUGUCAGGGGUCCCCUUCAGAGGAGAGAACCCUCUGAACGGGACGCCAGGACCCUGGGAGCCCGACCACUCAAACAGCACAUGGAGAGAGUCCAGCAGGGGCUUUUUUAGCCCCAAGCACAUCGAAAGAGCCAGGUCCUUGAGCCCCUUGCGAGGGAUCCACUCCAUAGAUAGUGGGAUAGUUUUAACCAAUGGCAUGGAAUGUGCCUGGAAACAUUCCAGCCCACCACUCAGAAGGAGGCAUUCUUUAUCUCGUCUCCCGGACUGGGACACAGAAGAAUAUGGUCCCAUGCGGCCAUUGGCUCGAAGGGUGUGGAGUGGAUUGGAGCUGGACCUGCGGGCAUCUUUACCAGAGAAUGUGCAGAGGACAGCAGGGCUGAGGCCCUCUCUGCGGGAUGCUCCUGGGGUGCUAGAGGGACAAGCAGAAGAGCUGCAGAAGCUGGAACUCAACAGGGUGAAGUUUGAGCUGUUUUCCAUUAAGCAGAAGCAGAUGGAGAGCUCCGUCACCCAGCUAGAGAAGGAAAAGAGCUGGUUGGACCUGUCCCGCUAUGAAGACCAGAAACAGAGAGGGGACCUGCAAGAGAAGAUCCUUAAUUUGGAGAUGGAGGUGGUGAAGGCCAAAUCCUGCUUGAGCAGAAUGAGCUGCCGCUCAGUCUCCCCAAGUCCCAGCCAGAGGCUGUCUGCGGAGAAGGAGGAGCUGAAUCGAGAAAUGACAGCUCUUCAAGAAACCCUGAGUGAUUACAAGGAGCACAUGAAGGUUCUGGAAGCAGAACGGGAUGAAAUGACCCAGCAGCUGAACUCAGCCAAAGAGGGGCAACAGCUGGCUUUCAGCCAGACCAGUGAGGCCAACCAGAGAGUGACAGACUCGUUCCAGGUGACAACAGCACUGCACAAGGAAAUUGGCAGACUCCAAGCGGCUUACAGCAGCACCAGUCGGGAGAAGGAGCUGCUGUCUUCCAAGGUGGCCAGGCUGGAGGAGAGAGUAUCUGAGCUCACCAUGAAGCUGAAGCCUGCCCUGGCCAACAGGGAGAGGUUCCUAAAGGAGAAAGUAGAGCUGCACCUGCAGGUGCAGGAUCUCACCCUGCAGUUGGAACGUGCACAGUGGAGCCGAGAGGGAUUCAACAGCCAAGUGUCAGACCUCCACCUGGAGCUGGUGAAUGCCAAGGCCCAGGCCAACCACCAGGACCAGGAGAAGGUCCUGAUGAAGGAGGAACUGGUGACUCUCAGACAGGUAAAUGAACAGCUCUCCUCUGAACUGGGUCAGAGCCACCAGAGACUGGAGACCUCCACGGGUCAGCUCCACCACCUGGAGGCUGAGAAGAAGAUCCUGACCAAUAGGAUCCAGGCCCUGGAGACUGAGUGCAUGCAGCUGCUGGGUGAACAGGAGGCGCUGAAGUCACAAAUGCAGAGGGAUCCUGGAGGCCAGGGGAUUGAUAUGGCAGCUCUUCAAACAACCUGCGAAGGGCUCAGGGCGUCACAGUCCGUGUUGCAGGCGGAGAAGGAAGCCUUGCAGGCUCUCUGCAUGGAGCUGGAGGCUGCCUUGCAGCAUAAGCAGGAGGAGUUGUGUGGCCAGCUCGCAGAGCAGCAGCAGGUCUCCCAGCACUGGAAGGACAGAUGGAACCAGGCGGCCAUGGCCCUAAAAACCAAAGAGGAGGAACUGGAGCAAGCACACAUGGCGAGUCAGAGCUUGUCUGCCAAGCAUACUGAGCUCCUGGAGGACUGUGAGCUGCUCCAGGUGGAUGUGGAGGAGCUGGCCGAGCUGAGAGGCACUGUGUGCAGCCUGAAGGAAGAAAACAGAGACUUAAUGAGACAGCUGAGGGAGCAGCAACAGGCCACCCAGCUGCUACAGCUACAGCAAGAGCUGGCUACAAACACAUCUGUACUGGGAUCAGGCUCACAGAGGACUUCAGAACAAGAGGCCCUUUACAAAGAGAUCCAGGAAACCCACGACAGGAUAAAGAGGCUGGAGAAUGAAAAAGCUGAGAUGAAGUCCGAGAUCAGGAAACUGAAGCUGGACGGCGCUUCCGUCCUGCGGAUUGAACUGGAUGCCUGUAAGCAGGAGCUGGAGCUGGAAAAGAGCCGCAGUCAGGCUCUGAAUGGCAAAGUGCAGCUGCUGCAGUCCCGGCGCCGGGACAAUGCUACUCCACCACAUGAGCAGAUCAAGUUCCCAGCAGCCUCCAAUACCACAGCAACAUCUGGCUUAGAGAUGGAUUGUCCUGUGUCCUCUCCAAGAAGUUCUCAGAUUUCCAGUCCUCAAGGAGAACCGUUGGCCCUGGAGAGCCCCCGUGGCUUGAUGGCCUCAGGGGGCCUGUCUGAGGUGGAGAGCCUGAAGCAGAAGCUCCAGAGGGAGACUGCAUCCCGGCAGGAAAAGGAGGCACUGAUCUGGACUCUGAGAGAGCAAUUAGAAGAACUGAAACUAAAACAGCCAGGAGACAUCAAGGCCUCCCUGGAGGAAGUAGACACAGAGUUAGUGCUGGUCCGAAAAGAGCUACAGAAGGUUUGGGACAUGCUGAAAACCCGUGAUACGGCACUGGAAGAACAACGGCUGGAGUUAGAAUCGUCCAGGAGCCAGUACACUGAAUGCAGCUCAGAAAAGCUGAGACUGGAACAACUCGUCGCCUGUCUGGAGCACCAGCUGGCGGAGAGAGAACAGGCCUUGAGGCACCUUCAACAAGCAAGUGAGAUGGAAAAAAACAAGCUGGAGAUUCAAGCCUCUUCAUUAGAGCUGAAGCUGGCAGAAGUGGAGGUCCUGAGAGACGACGCCCAGCGACGCAACCAGGCAUCGGGCCCUCUAGAGGUACAGAACUCGGGCCCCAGGCAGGGCCGUGCCAGCCACUCCCAGGGGAAGUGCUCCCGGUGCGAUGCUUUUCUGGCCCAGCUGAACAAGAUGAUUCAAAGCUGUACAGAGAAAGGGGCUGUGCUGCAGGAGGACCAGGCCUUGACCUACCUGUGUGAGCUGCAGGGGCUCCUCAAGGGGCUGAGUCCGUGCGCGGCCAGCCAAGUCACAAGGAGCCCCCAGGAAAAGAGCCAGACCCUGGAACAGCAGCAUCAGUUGGUGACUGAGCAGGUAACAAACCAUGCAUUCAGCUUUGUCUCAGGCUGUCUGCCUCAUCAUAGUUUUUAUGC
ensembl:lncRNA